rnacentral:rRNA from 1 species
UACGUAGGGUGCGAGCGUUGUCCGGAAUUAUUGGGCGUAAAGAGCUCGUAGGCGGUUUGUCGCGUCGGCCGUGAAAACUUGGGGCUUAACCCCAAGCUUGCGGUCGAUACGGGCAGACUUGAGUUCGGCAGGGGAGACUGGAAUUCCUGGUGUAGCGGUGGAAUGCGCAGAUAUCAGGAGGAACACCGGUGGCGAAGGCGGGUCUCUGGGCAGUAACUGACGCUGAGGAGCGAAAGCGUGGGGAGCGAACAGG